rnacentral:lncRNA from 1 species
UGUAGCUCAUGAAAUUCGACAUCCUCUUAUUUUUUAAGCCAGGUUGGAGUGACUGUUUAAAUGCUGAUACUGAGCUUUUUAAUUUACCAUCAUGUUUUGUUUGCCUUGGACUUAGCCUGACUGUUAAGUUGUUCAUACUACAUUAGACUGAAUGAUUUUUAUCCAGUAACAAACUCAAUGUAAGCUACUCAACUGUAGUAACUCCUCCAUUAUCCAAACCACUUCCCUCCAGCAUGAGAUUUGGGACUGCCUGGAGUCAAGUUUCGAAGACAAUUCAAGCAACCCUUGGUUUGCAGUACCGAAUUUUGAGGCAUUCAUUCAGUUUGAAUAUGCCAUUUACUCCUUUCUUCACUGGCUUGAAAUUUAAAGGAAAACCUAAUAUGUGUCUCUUAAAUUUUACAUUCUCCAGCUUAUGGAAACAUCUUUACAUUAUUCUUUAUUUAUAAAUUCAUAGAGUUGUUAAAUUAGACUGUUUACACUUUCUUUAAUCUCUUUAUCCUUCCUUAUCUGCAUAUUGUGAAAUGACUUCUAGACUGAAGGAAUGCAAAGACUAUGUGUUGGUUCAAUGGAUAAAAGCCAGCCCAAGGAGAUUAUGUGGAAGACAUUCCCCCAUCGAUUAUUCUUUGCUCGUGACGAUACGGCUACAUGGGGUCCUGGAGGUGUUGCUUUUCUGCAUCCUGAAAGUGAUAUUCAAGAGAAAACUUACUUGCGUCUGUACAAAAUUACGUAUGCAAUCUCUUCCUCUUUCUAUCUUAAAAGUUCAUUUUCUGGUUCAUUUGAUUGGUUUUCAGCUAAGAAGCUAAAUGAAUUAAAGAGCAUCCUAAGCUAUUCAACAUUUCAUUGUAUAAUUGAAAUGCUGAUAUGGUCCUCAUCUAUCUUUUGUCAAACUGCACCGCUUAAAUUAAUAUGAAAAGGCAUAUUUAGUUUCAGGCCUAAAAUGGUGCACCUCAUAAUCUUACAGGGAAUUUAUGCUAAUCCCUGUAGUUGUUGAUUUCAAAUUUUCUUCUUUGUUUAUCUAUUUAUUGUUUAUUGUAUUAUUACAGGCUAGAGCAAUUUAAUGACGUGUUGCUUCAAGAGAAUGUUUUGAGUGGUGAAAUGACUUGUUCAUUAUUUGAUUUGACAUUUUUACAAACUAUUGAAACAGAAAAGUGCAUCUCAGUGGAGUUAGUCCAGGUAUGUGGUGAAGCCUUGUAUGCCAUUUUUUACAUCCAUACUAAAAUCUUACUUGCUGUUGGUUUUAUAGGACAGCGUCCUUUUGUGAUAAUCAUAAUUCAGUUUUCAGGACAAAAAAGUUGACGGAUAGAUAAUAUUUGAUAGAGGCUCAUACUUGUUAAAUUUGGUUUCAACCCUUUUUCUCUGGAUGAAUCAGUAUCUUAUCAGGUAAGUUGAUGGAUGAAAUAAGUGUACAAGAAUUAAAAUGCUGUCCUGAACAACAAAACAAAUCUGCUAGUCGAGACAGAGAGUGGACUGAGAAUUUCAAAUUGGAGGAAGAAAGGCAAAAAGCAUCUAAUCCUCUGUAAACGAUUCUCUGAACCAUCAAAAGUCCAUUCAAUUCUUCUCCUUCUGUAGCAGUCACCGAACACAUAACCGACGAGAGUAUUUUGUACAUUCUUAGUAAUGAUAUACAAGCUUAUUUCUAUACAAUAUCUUCCUAAAAUAUAGGAACUGACCACUUCUAGAAAUAGGCAUCAAAUAAGUAGGAGAUAAUUUCGAUUCCUCCUACUCUCUUCACUAAAUCUACCUAAAUCUGUCCGCAUUCCUCUCAAAUUGGCUCAAAAUAUCUUGCAUCCUGAUCUUGCUCAUAAUAGUAUCAAGCUGUGCUUUUCAUGGUCCCUUGGUAAGAACUUCUGCCAAUUGUGUUGGCAGUUCCAUGGGUGGUGGUGGAGGGAGGGGGAGGGGGCUCCUUUUUCUCAUUUUCAUUUUCCCUUUUCUUGUAACUGUUUUUUUGGUAAUAAACUUGAGCAUAUCAAAAUACCCUCACAAAAAGAGGUCUCGCAUGUUGAGUGACGAUUUAACUGAAUUUGGCCCCCAUUAAUUUCCAUUCCAUUACAUUUCGUUUUUUUCUCUUCUAUUUUUAACCACAUAAUCUUCCAUAAAAUAAUAUUGCACGUUAACCGAAAACCUUUCCUUCUUUUUCAAUCACUCAUUUUUAAAAAAAAAAACACUAUUCUAACCAUUUUCAUUUCCACAAAAUGGGGGCUUGGAUUCUUCCGUCUUAUUGGACUGACACCAAAAAUUGAAGGUUUUGGGUUUUUUUAUUUUUAUUCUUUUAUUUUUUUAUGUACAUAUUUUACCAGUACAUUUCAAAUGAAUGGAGAAUAAGGUUAGGUUUCGAACAGUAUCUCAGAAGAUAGGGAUUGAUGAUAAGAAUUUGAUUUAAAUAAGAUUUCAGUGUUUCUUUCUAAGAUAGAAUUUUAUCAUUUUAAUAGUUGUUAUUUACGAUAAGUUCUAUACUUUAUAAAUAGGAUGUAUGAACAUUCGCUUGUAUUUGAACUAUUAUUAUUGAUGUUUGAUAAUUAAGAUUGAUAUUUAAUUACAGAUUUUCCCCUUCAAAUUGUCUGCUCGUCUCUCUGUUUAUCUUUCUGUGUUAAGUACCCAUCACUUGUGGACCUGGAACAUUUCAUUUACUUGUACUAACUUUUGAGUGAUGUCUCUGCAUUCAUUAAUUUGUACAAUUACACUGUUAUAUAUACCCAUUUUUUUUCUAUUUAAUGCAGAGAGGAUGGUACCAUAAUGUUGUUUACUUGGGAAAGGAGAACAAUAUUCCAAUUCUAACAAUGACGUAAGCAUAUAUGCCUACCAUCUCUAGCAUUAUUAUGAAAGAUUCGAGUAGUAUAGUUUAUUUAUCAUAUUUUAACUGAUAUGAAUUCAGGUGCACUCUUUCGGAUAUUGAAAACUUCAAGUCUGGUAAAUUGCCUGUAAAAUCACCUGCCAAAGCGUAUGCCAAUACCUUGGUUAAAGGACUUGUAGAAGGAAAACAGCUGUCGGAAGCGGAAGCAAUAGCAUACAUAGAGGAAGCAUCUACAAAGCCACUAUAAAUUCUGUUGCUCGCUCUCAUUUAAAAUUCUUCACCGUCUUUUGUGUAACUUAGAGAUGCUCAAGCUGUAGCAUUUCUACUCCAUUGCAACACUCAAGGUGUGAUUUAGGAAAAUCUCCUGUUUGAUGCUUUCAAACUGAUUUACUGUUGCAUAAGUUAUUUUGCUGCUUUGAAGAUAGAUUGCUGUUAAGUGUUGCAUCCAAGAUCUGGUGUUUCUGGUGCAUGUGAUUAUUUACUGGAUAAGUUGCAUCACGAACGUCCAACAUAUGGUUUAUCUAGUGCAUAUGUGAUGAUUUUGGUUUAUUAAUAUCAAUAUAUUUAUACUACUGCAUA